rnacentral:rRNA from 1 species
CACGUAGGGCGCGAGCGUUGUCCGGAAUUAUUGGGCGUAAAGAGCUCGUAGGCGGCCUGUUGCGUCCGCUGUGAAAGCCCGGGGCUUAACCCCGGGUCGGCAGUGGAUACGGGCAGGCUAGAGGUAGGUAGGGGAGAAUGGAAUUCCCGGUGUAGCGGUGAAAUGCGCAGAUAUCGGGAGGAAUACCGGUGGCGAAGGCGGUUCUCUGGGCCUUACCUGACGCUGAGGAGCGAAAGCGUGGGGAGCGAACAGG